rnacentral:rRNA from 1 species
UACGGAGGGUGCAAGCGUUGUCCGGAAUCACUGGGCGUAAAGGGCGCGUAGGCGGCCUGGUAAGUCGGGGGUGAAAUCCUGCGGCUUAACCGCAGGGCUGCCUUCUAAACUGUCAGGCUUGAGCACGGUAGAGGCAGAUGGAAUUCCCGGUGUAGCGGUGGAAUGCGUAGAGAUCGGGAAGAACAUCAGUGGCGAAAGCGGCUCUCUGGAACGGUACUGACGCUGAGACGCGAAAGCGUGGGGAGCGAACAGG